UUCGAACAUCAGUAAUGAUAUGGAAAAGGUUGGUUUGAAUGCAUUGUAAUGCUUGAAGCUCUCAUUGGGCUUAUUUUAUCCUCCAAACGAUAUCCGAAGCAAUCAAGUUCGCCAACUACAACAACGGCAACCAUCUGUUUGGUGUUGGCAAUGGACGUGGGACCUAGGCCCCGGAGAUCAAUGGCGACGAGGAGCAGCUGCUGGUCGUCGUUGUGGCACUUGCGCUCAUCUGACAGUGAGUGACGUUCAGCCAGUAACAAGUUAUCUAUCUUCUUUGGGCGGGAGGAUCAAGUGAUCACCAAAAUAUUUCUUCAGAUCUUUCACUUUCAUGGUGUUGUAUGAUUAAAUGGUUGAAGGAUGAGGAUGACAGGAUGCAGAAAAAUACUUUUACCAACAAUCAUUGUGGCCUCUACUAAAGUGAUUUAUAGGUUCGGCAUUAUGCUACUGGUUAUGUGUUCUGCUAUAAUUAAUGAUGGGCAUGGAAGUACACAAAAGGGACAGAUGAUUGGGAUCAAGGUUCAGUGACUUGAUCCAGGUCAAAGGACAUUAUCUGACUUGAAGACCAGCCAUUCCUAAAGAAGGAUUACUAGGAGACGUACACUGGUGAUAUUGUUUCCGU